UAAUUACCUUAAUUAAAAACAAAGCGCCUAUAACUGCCUCGUGCCGUGUAAACAAAAGCUGAAUUAAAUUAUAUCCCAAAUGAAGGCAGUAGCACUGAUAGCUACCGUUGGCCAGACAAAAUUAAGGAGGAACAGAGAUAAAAGGUCUUUUUUAAAGUUCAUCCUCUCUGUCCAUUAUCUAUCCCAGGCAUCCCAACAAGCUGGAGGAAGUAAGCCAGCUCUCUCUCUCUCUCUCUCUCAGGUAUCCCAAUAAGUUGGAGGAAGUAAGCUAGCUCUCUCUCUCUCUCUCUCCCUCAUACGAUACGCCAUGUCUCGCCAGCAAUCCAAAGUACGCCAGGAAGGCUGUAAGAAACGACGUCUUGAUAAUAAGCCUCCAUUCCCCUUGUCAGUAUUUUUUUAUGGACGACGGCUAUUCACGUCAAUAAACAAGUAACUGUUUGGCAAUUAUGGCAUACUCUUUGGCAAGUCUAGACGGCAGAGCUUCCUGUACGCCUCAUACAAGAAGAAGAAGAGGGUGGCGAAGAAGGAGCAAGCGGAUGUAAAGUGUAAACAAGCUAGGUUUCGCCGAUGUUGUUUUGUUCUGUUGAAUCUGUUCAGUGCGUGGCUGGCUGCUCCGUUUGGAAUGUUGGUUGAUACGUCUGUUUAACUGUUACUCAACUGGUAGCCCACUCGGUUGGGUUAAUUAGGGAGGUCUUGCUUAAAUCAUCGGACGUAGAAACUUUUAUCCUCUACGGUUUGUGUCACUUUGUAAGUUAAAUAUUUUAACAGUAAGUACGUAAUCACUAAGAAACUACUUGGACGAAACCAUGAUACAUUCAGAGUAGUGAGUUCACCCCUCGGCGUACUCAAAAGCCGCAGGAAUGUUGAAGAAUGGCUGGGACACUUUGAACAUAAUUUUGAAAAAAGGUGAUUAUUGAUGAAACUGAUCUGCUGGCUUUUUUGUAUAAGAGGGUGUUAUUUAGUGAAAUAAAAACAAAUUUCGCCUAGACUAAAGCAUUUCUUCAAUUUGCCUUUAAAAACAAUAAUGGUACUAUUUUUACCCCCCUACUCCCCGAUCAUAAUCAAAGGGGUGUAUUACGGUAAUUGAGUGUUCUUGGAACACGCCAGAGGAUGAAGAGAAAAUGUUGGGAUAAAUAUGUCUUGGUUUUAGUCUUUUAAAUUCUUGAAUUAAUGGAAAUAAGUCAGAGGGUUGUUCCUGCAACUUUUAGUUUUAUUUUAAACCAAGAGUUCAGUAAACAGUUUGAACAGUUCAAUAAAGCAAUAGAUAAGUAAUAACCUUAAUUGCCGAUGUAUAAGUCAGGAAAUGGUUGGGAUUUCGGGAAUGAGUAAUUACAGUAAGUAAUUACAGUUAGUAACAGUCUCUCGGUUGUGUGGAAACCAGUUUUGAAGUUGACAGAGCAGAAUAAAGUACAGUAAAUUAGUAACGACUAUACUGGCCAUAAUCUAGUUAGCCUGAACCAAUGCAAAGGAUAGCAGUCUGGUUUCUGUUAUUACGAGUGACUUAAGUUACCAGGAUUUAAUUAAUCCUUAACUAAUUUGUUUAGGCAUUCGGCAAAAGUUGUCAAUGCAAUAGGCUAUGCAAAACCAGACUAAUAACUUGAUAGCUUAGCGGGGCGUGCAUUUAGUAUACCAGGCCUUCGGCGAUAUUAUACG